rnacentral:rRNA from 1 species
UACGUAGGGUGCAAGCGUUGUCCGGAAUUAUUGGGCGUAAAGAGCUCGUAGGCGGUUUGUCGCGUCUGUCGUGAAAGCUUGGGGCUUAACCCUAAGUCUGCGGUGGAUACGGGCAGGCUAGAGGCAGGUAGGGGAGAACGGAAUUCCCGGUGUAGCGGUGAAAUGCGCAGAUAUCGGGAGGAACACCGGUGGCGAAGGCGGUUCUCUGGGCCUGUACUGACGCUGAGGAGCGAAAGCGUGGGGAGCGAACAGG